rnacentral:lncRNA from 1 species
AACAGUUUAAAGCAGUAGGAUGUGAACUCAGAAAAAGAUAAUAAAUAAAAAAUGGCGAAAGGCUAUAAAUAGGACAGACUGCUAAGAACUGUGUCUCUGAGGGAAAUCAGUUUCUUUAAACCCUAAGUCAUUUUCGCAAUGUCAGAUAAAAAGCAUAAUUACAACAUCUCAGGGAUACUAUUGUGAAAUUUGGCUUUCUGAUCUUGUUCCAGAAAGCAAACAUUUCUAGAGAAGGGAGCAAAGAUUUUUGUCAAUCUUGUAUUAAACACUCACGUCUGCUCAUGUAUUUUGUAAGGUGCUGUGGUUUUAUAACACUUGGACUUGAGAGGCGCAAAGUACAAAACUCUAAAAACAAAUCAAGCAAAUGAGAAAAGGCAAGUAUUUAUACCACAGAACUAUACUAAUCAUAAAUACUCCAGCCUGUGGGUCCAAAGCUCUAAACACACAGAGAGUUGACUCCUUGAAUGAUAAAAUUCUGCUACCCUGAAAGUCUAAUCUGGUGAUUUUUUUAUUGCAACCCAUGCCUUUUUCCAAACCAUUGAUAGACAGGGGCUUUUCACACUGACACCUAAUCUGGCUCCAUGAGACUGUGCAACACGGUGGGGUGUUGGACCAAAUGCGAAGAUGCUGAGGAAGAACAUUUGAAAUGUGAGUGCAAGUUUUAAAAAAGGAACCAGUGAUAAAACCAAGAUAAACAACCAAAGAGAAACAUGAAUCUCUCUCGUGCUGUGGAUAUGUAAGACAUUACUAUUGGAAGAGGCUGGAUGAAGAGCACAAGGGGUCUCUCUGUACUAUUUUUGCCACUUUCUAUGAGACUGCUAUUUCAAAACAAAAAUUUUUUGAAGUAUGGAUGUCACCUGGGACCCAGUCCUGAUGCUCAGAACUGGACAAGAGGCAGAGGAGCACAUAAAGGCUGGAAGUUGUGGGGCCUGCCACUUUUGACCACGAGGACAAGGUGGUAGACUAACAAAACGGAAGAGACCUGAGUUUCUUGGAGCUGACACCUUGGAGCUGCCGUACCUCUUUCAGAUUGCCUACUCAAUUAGGUGAGAAAAAAAUCGUCUCUCUUGUUUCAGCCUCUGUAGUUUCACACUCUAACAUAGAUUUACCAAUACUUUUGAAGCUAUCCGUGUGCCCCCCACAAUACCAUCUUUCUUCCUCUCCACCAGGAGUAACCACUCUCCAGAACUGUGUUUAUCAUUAUUUUUCUUUCCUUUCUAGCUUUGCCACAAUUGUACGUAUUCUGAAACACACAAUCUUGCUUAUCUUUGAACUUUACAUAAAUAAACAAAAUCAUACCGUGUGCGUUGUUCUGUAA